AUUGAACGCUGGCGGCAGGCCUAACACAUGCAAGUCGAGCGGAGCGGCGGACGGGUGAGUAUUGUCUGGGAAUCUGCCUGGUAGUGGGGGAUAACGUCCGGAGACGGGGGCUAAUACCGCGUACUAUCAGAUGAGCCUAGGGCGGAUUAGCUAGUUGGGGGGGUAAAGGCCUACCAAGGCGACGAUCCGCAACUGGUCUGAGAGGAGGAUCAGUCACACUGGAACGGAGACACGGUCCAGACUCCUACGGGAGGCAGCAGUGGGGAAUAUUGGACAAUGGGCGAAAGCCUGAUCCAGACAUGCCGCGUGUGUGAAGAAGGUCUUCGGAUUGUAAAGCACUUUAAGUUGGGAGGCGUUACCAACAGAAUAAGCACCGGCUAACUUCGUGCCAGCAGCCGCGGUAAUUC
rnacentral:rRNA from 1 species